GGGAAGGUAUUAGCACCCCUCACGUCCGUCGUACUCGACGGGAUCCACGUUCUAAAAGAAAGAAAAGGUUGCUAAAACAUCACACACACACAAGGAACGCAGGUGGGGUUAAGAGAAAGGGGGCUCGCUAGGACAUCGCAUCCUAUGCCUACAUAUCUCGUCUGGAACGAGAAUCAGAGCUACUGUAGUUCGGCUCACGCACGCCAAACAA
rnacentral:lncRNA from 1 species